rnacentral:rRNA from 1 species
UACAGAGGAUGCAAGCGUUAUCCGGAAUCAUUGGGCGUAAAGCGUCUGUAGGCGGCUUUUUAAGUCCGCCGUCAAAUCCCAGGGCUCAACUCUGGACAGGCGGUGGAAACUACCAAGCUUGAGUACGGUAGGGGCAGAGGGAAUUUCCGGUGGAGCGGUGAAAUGCGUAGAUAUCGGAAAGAACACCAACGGCGAAAGCACGCUGCUGGGCCGACACUGACACUGAGAGACGAAAGCUAGGGGAGCGAAUGGG